CAGCCGCCGCGGUAAUACGUAGGGUGCAAGCGUUAAUCGGAAUUACUGGGCGUAAAGCGUGCGCAGGCGGUUCUAUAAGACAGAUGUGAAAUCCCCGGGCUCAACCUGGGAACUGCAUUUGUGACUGUAGAGCUGGAGUGCGGCAGAGGGGGAUGGAAUUCCGCGUGUAGCAGUGAAAUGCGUAGAUAUGCGGAGGAACACCGAUAGCGAAGGCAAUCCCCUGGGCCUGCACUGACGCUCAUGCACGAAAGCGUGGGGAGCAAACAGGAUUAGAUACCCCCGUAGUCCCUGUCUCUUAUAC
rnacentral:rRNA from 1 species